UACGGGGGGGGCAAGCGUUGUUCGGAAUUACUGGGCGUAAAGGGCUCGUAGGCGGCCAACUAAGUCAGACGUGAAAUCCCUCGGCUUAACCGGGGAACUGCAUCUGAUACUGGAUGGCUUGAGUUCGGGAGAGGGAUGUGGAAUUCCAGGUGUAGCGGUGAAAUGCGUAGAUAUCUGGAGGAACACCGGUGGCGAAGGCGCUCAUCUGGCCCAAUACUGACGCUGAGGCGCGAAAGCUAGGGGAGCAAACGGG
rnacentral:rRNA from 1 species